AGCUUCUAGUGGCUCAGUUGGUUAGAGCAUGGUGCUGAUAGCAGCAAGGUGGUGGGUUCAUCCCCAUAUGGGCCA